UGCCUCGUUUUCGCGUGUUAUUUGUCCGUUUUCAGUUAUGUUACCUAGACUUAGUUGUAAAUUAGGUUUAAUUGUCAUUAUCUCCUGCAAUAAUCAAAAAUUAGUCCCGGAAAGCUGCGAUAGACUAGUCUAAAAUUAGGUAUCAUUACUGUGAGAGGCGCGUGGUUGUACGGCACAGCGUUGUCGCCUGCUUGGAUUUUUUGUCUACUGAACCAAGUAAGCUAUCGUCACCUAUUGAGAAUCACAGUUUCUCGGACGUAAUAAAAAAAGAUAUUACAGGAGUAAUUAGUAGAAAAACAUCAUGUCGGACCCAAUUUUGGACAAAUGUGCCUGGUUUUUGAUGAGAGAUCACAGCUGUUGAGAUGAAGCUCUGCGAAAUUACUGGACAUAUUAUGUUCCAUACUUCACGUGGUCUGACGUUGCAUAAAAGAAAGUCUCAUAAUCUCACUUCAUUACUUGAAUUUGAUGUUGUUAAAAGAUUCGAAAAGUCGUCUGAAAAUUGUGGUUACACUUGCUCCUUUUAAAAUUUAUUCAUGAUCUUCUUUAUAUUUUGGAUAAUAACUUUGGAUCCAACAAACUACAAGGUAUUUCAUCGCUUUUUCAAAAAGAAUAUGCGACACAACUGCAAGGAAAGCACAAUGAACUUCAUUAAAAAGUUGGCAACAGGACAGCUUCCUGGCACUUACAAAUGCCAAGAUAGAGGGCAAUGGGCUAAAAGUCCAACAAUUGUGAAUUUUUUAAUUAAUGUCCAGAAAGAACUGAAUGAAUGUUUUGCGACAAGAUCAAAUGUCGUACCAAUUCAGAAAAUAAUGGAAAAUAUUGACUUCUCGUAUUUAGUGAAUUCUUCUGAGACUGAUGAAGUCAAUGCAGCAAUACGAACUAUUGAAAAGAUUUGUAAGUUAUAUACAGUGGUGGGAUUCAAAUUUUUGUCAGCCGGUUCCAUCAUACAAAUGUCAUAUUUUCAGCCGGUUCUUUUGCAAAAAGUCAUUUGAUGCUAACCGGUUCGCUGAUCUCAUAAAAUUCUAUAGAACCGGCUGAAUCCCACUACUUGUUAUAUAUAACCAGCACAAGUUUCGGUUAUGCUAAAAUGCUUAGCAGCGGGUGUAAAAGUGGUAAAAAUUUGCUUAGUCAGUCUCCAGCGGGAAAAGAGUGGAGAAGUACAGAUCGAAAAUCGAAGAAGUUUAUUUGCAAUACUUUGCCCAAUUUGAAAUGGAGUUUCUUCUUCAUAGUAAAAUUCAAGCAAGGUGAGGGAUUACAAACCCCUGCGGGACUGUAUGGCAUUGUAGCCAAAAUCCACCACUGCAAGAUCGUUGCUCCUCCGACCAAUGCACCCUUGGUGACCGAACUAUGACUCCAAACAAUCUGAAAUAUCAAUUAUGUGUAACACAUUUCUGAAAAAAGAAACUUUAACCCUGGUUACAAC